rnacentral:lncRNA from 1 species
GUAAUGGACUAGACAAUGCACCAGCAAAAGGAGAAAGUGAUGGAAAUUUCUGCGUGGAAGUGGGGAGUCAUUUACUGCAACAAGAAUGUGAUUGGCAACUACCCUGUCAUAAUUAGUACAACAAACUUCAUUGAAUGUCAUUUUACAAGAAACAUUACAUUAACUAUGAAUCAAUCAUAAUAUGUGUCUAGUUCAACAGGUUUAUCAGCAGCAUUUUCUAACAAAGCCAUUGAAUCAGACGAAAAUGUAAUGGAACUUUCCAUCUGAUGAAACAAUGGAGCAAUUGGUUGAGAUUGAAGAGGCUGAGGAGGUAGUUGUAACACUUCAACUUCACCUUCAAGCAUUUCUAUUACUUCACUCAUUGUAGGGCGCUGUACCGGAUUUGUUUGUAUGCACCAUAACGCAACUAUAGUCAUCUUUCUACUUAUCUUCUUUUCAUCUUCAUUUGCUUCUUCAUCCACCACAAUUUCCUUCCCCCUUUUGAACUUAUCAUAAAUCCAAGAUGGAAAAUAUUGGCUAGAGUUUUCUUCAUUUGCAACUACAUUUCUCUUCAAGUCCAACAUUUCCAUUAGUAGCAUUCCAAAGCUGUAAACAUCAGCUUUAUAAGAUAUUGCUCCAAUGCUUCUGCUGAUCAACUCUGGAGCUACAUAUCCAAUCGUUCCACGAGCAGCUGUAAGAGUCACAAUGCUAUUAUCCGUUGGAUAUUGUUUAGCAAGUCCAAAGUCAGAAAUCUUUGGGAUGAAAUUCUCAUCCAAAAGAAUGUUGUGAGGCUUGAUGUCAAAGUGCAAAAUUCGUAUGUCACAGCCUCGAUGCAAAUACUCAAUUCCUCGAGCCACUCCAACAACAAUUUCAUACUUCCUCUGCCAACUUAACACAGGGCUUCCUUCUUGACUGGCGAUGUACUUAUCAAGUGAUCCAUUGGGCAUGAAAUCGUAUACAAGAGCGCGCUCUGUUGUCUCAACACAAUACCCCACGAGUCCAACUACAUUCACAUGAUGAAUCCUUCCAAUGGUAGCUAUUUCAUUCAUGAAAUCUUGGCCGCCACCAGCUUUAGGCUUGCUCAACAUUUUCACUGCUACAUCCCUACCACUGCGAAGUUUUCCUUUAUAUACUUUGCCAAAACCUCCCUCACCUAAUUUCUCUUUGAACCCUCUGGUCAUUCUCUUUAUGUGGGAGUAAUUAUAUCUGAUUGGCAUGAAAUUGUUUUGUGUCUGCAGAAAGCCUUCAAUCAUAUCAUACAUGGACAAAUGCCUCCUUUUGAAUUUGAACAUCAGAAAUACAAUUAUGAUGGGU